AUGGGAAUUUUUUACUCCGAAAAGAGGCCGAGUCUUGCUUACGUCAACAAGCGCUCGUGAUGCUACUUUGAAACCAAAUGGAGGCCUUGCAUGGUUUCAGAUGGUGAUGAUAGGAGAUUGUGAGGAGGGCGAGAGGAGACCACAGCGGUUUUCUCCACACCAAGGAUGAUGACUGUAGUCGCCUCCUAUCUCUGACUCUCUUGUGACCGGCAGCACGGCACUCCCUGUGCUCUCACUAGUGCUGCAGGUGACUGGUGAGCUGAUGUGGAAACAGUGAAAGGUUUCCUGCAGGCACGCGUGGACAGGAGGAGCCGCUGCUGGCCUUUAGGACUGGAAACUAUUUGCGCGAUGGCCACAGUCCCACCUCUCAGCCUGGGAACGG